rnacentral:rRNA from 1 species
ACACGACUACAUUAGAUACCCGGUAGUCCUAGCCGUAAACGAUACUCGCUAGGUGUCGGCCACGGUGCGACCGUUGUCGGUGCCGUAGGGAAGCCGUGAAGCGAGCCACCUGGGAAGUACGGCCGCAAGGCUGAAACUUAAAAGAAUUGGCGGGGGAGCACAACAACGGGUGGAGCCUGCGGUUUAAUUGGACUCAACGCCGGGAAGCUCACCGGAUAAGACAGCGGAAUGAUUGCCGGGCUGAAGACCCUGCAUGACCAGCUG